rnacentral:lncRNA from 1 species
UUGCUCAAGGCCACACAGCUGCGAGUGGAGCCCACUGCCCCUGCUCCUCCACUGCUCCACACUGCCCUGCAAGAAGGAGGAGGCCAGUCUCGUUUAUUGGGGAAGGUGAGGGAGACAAGACCCUGAGCUUACACAGCCCCACUCCCUCCAGGGCUACACGCCAGGGACCCCUGCCCAGACCUGCCUGGAAUGGCUGCUCCUGUGUUGGCCUCCAGCUCAGCCAUGCACGGACACAGGAAGGCCAAUGGCCAGAGGCUGAAGGGCCAUAGGAAGGAUGCUGGGGCAGCAUCAGCUCCGUGGAGGGGCCCAUGGACCACUCUUACAUUUAAAUCCAUCUGCCAGUCUCUAGUAGAUACUGUCUGGCUACUCACCCAGCUUCCACCACCCUUUCUGCUGUCUCAAGAACCCAGAGAUUUUUUGUCAUGGUCCCCCCAGUCCUCUCUUGGUAGAGGCCCCAGGAAGAGCCCUCAAAGGCGGAGCUCUCCAGACACCGUCAUGAGCAAAUGCGAGCCCAGGACGGCCGUGGCCACCCGGCAACACACCUUGUGGAGGGAAGUGUGCACCACUCAGGGGGACUGAGGGACCAGAGCAGGUGCCAUGGGAGAAGCCCACCCUGCAGCCCCUGGCCUCCCUUGUCUCUCUUAUGCUGGUCAAACGCAAGUUAACAUGGGUUCCAGCUGGAUGCCGAGUUUGCACUCCUGCUGCACCCGCCGUGGCACACUCAGCCAGGGGCCUGUGCUGCUUGUCUCUGCCUGGAAGGGGCAUGGCUACA